rnacentral:rRNA from 1 species
UACGUAGGGACCAAGCGUUGUUCGGAUUUACUGGGCGUAAAGGGUGCGUAGGUGGCGCCGUAAGUCGGGUGUGAAAUUUCGGAGCUUAACUCCGAAACUGCAUUCGAUACUGCGGUGCUUGAGGACUGGAGAGGAGACUGGAAUUCAUGGUGUAGCAGUGAAAUGCGUAGAGAUCAUGAGGAAGACCAGUGGCGAAGGCGGGUCUCUGGACAGUUCCUGACACUGAGGCACGAAGGCCAGGGGAGCAAACGGG